rnacentral:rRNA from 1 species
GCCAACUACGUGCCAGCAGCCGCGGUAAUACGUAGGGUGCGAGCGUUGUCCGGAAUUACUGGGCGUAAAGAGCUCGUAGGCGGUUUGUCGCGUCGUCUGUGAAAUUCUGCAACUCAAUUGCAGGCGUGCAGGCGAUACGGGCAGACUUGAGUACUACAGGGGAGACUGGAAUUCCUGGUGUAGCGGUGAAAUGCGCAGAUAUCAGGAGGAACACCGGUGGCGAAGGCGGGUCUCUGGGUAGUAACUGACGCUGAGGAGCGAAAGCGUGGGUAGCGAACAGGAUUAGAUACCCCGGUAGUC